rnacentral:rRNA from 1 species
GGCAAAAGAGAGCUUGAUUGCAAGACAUACAGGUCGAGCAAGGAUGAAAAUCGGACUUAGUGAUCCGGUGGUUCUGCGUGGAAGGGCCAUCGCUCAACGGAUAAAAGCUACCCUGGGGAUAACAGGCUUAUCUCCCCCAAGAGUCCACAUCGACGGGGAGGUUUGGCACCUCGAUGUCGGCUCAUCACAUCCUGGGGCUGUAGUAGGUCCCAAGGGUUGGGCUGUUCGCCCAUUAAAGUGGUACGCGAGCUGGGUUCAGAACGUCGUGAGACAGUUCGGUCCCUAUCCGUCGCAGGCGUAGGAAAUUUGAGAAGACCUGUCCUUAGUACGAGAGGACCGGGAUGGACGUACCUCUGGUGUACCAGUUGUUCUGCCAAGGGCAUGGCUGGGUAGCUAUGUACGGAAUGGAUAAGCGCUGAAAGCAUCUAAGCGCGAAGCCAACUUCAAGAUAAGAUUUCCCACCGCAAGGGUAAGACCCCAGAAAGACUAACUGGUUGAUCGGUCGACGGUGUAAGUGCAGCAAGGUAUUUAGCUUAUCUAUACUAAUCGGUCUAGGACUUGACCCUG